rnacentral:snRNA from 1 species
AUUUUGACAUAACAGAGAGAGAGAGACUCGAUCAGGAAGGUGCUUUCCCAAGGGUAAGGCUCCCUUGUACUUGGGAGGUGCUGACCCCUGCUGCUUUUCCCAGUUCAUGAAAUCAGCUGCCUAAGUUUAGUAAAGGGAGACCAUGUUCACAUU